UUCUGUUCUGCAUCUCUCCCUCAAUCUAUACUCUUCACGCCUCCAUGCAGCUGCUACUGCACGUCGCCGUCGACCCACCAUCCACCUCCACCAUCGCCGGCCAACCCAGCCAAGCCCCUCCCUCACGGAUUCUCUCUCUCCCGCAGAUCUCCCUCUUUCUUCACCCUCGAAGUCGUUUCUCUCUUGGGUUCCCAGUGACGCCGCAUCACCUCCAGCUACCGGCAUAGCUACCCAACGGUCCCCAACCCCUCCACAAGCUCUCCCUAUCUCUCAGCGUCGAUCUGCUCUCCCCCGCAAGGAUCUCGCUCAAGCGCCUCGUACAAGCCCUGCGCCACCUUCCUCCACGACAAAGCACCACCGCAAGUCAGCCCUCUACACGGCCGCAAUGCCACCCCAUGCUCCACCACCUCCCCUUCAACGCCAUAAGCCAACCCAGAACAGAUAAGGAGAAUGUUGUGAUGAAAACUGCAAAGUUAAGAGAUAAGUAAGAAGUUCUAGACAGACAACAACAUGCUAAUACUAAAGUUCAAAAGAAUCUGGAAGACAAUCUUCAACAGCUUAUAAAUCGAGAUGACAGUUCUCUUCCCUUGGUUCUUUGGAUGAGAAAUUGUUGGCUGAGUUGGCUUCCUCCAUGUCAUCGGUUAUUGUUGGGUUAGUUUCACUAGUUUCUGCUCCUAUCAUUGAUUGAGCUCCUGGAUGAGAAGUGGCUGGCAAAAUAAUUUAGAUGAUGUCAUUGUUCACUGCCAACUCCUCCUUCACAGGCUAUAAUGGCAGUGAGUAAUACAUUUGACCUACCCUGGACUGGCUUUGGGUGAGAGCUCCUGCAACUUAACGAAUUUUCAAUACAAUUACUAUAUUUCCCAUGGCUUCUUACAAAAUUUGUCUUUGAUAUUGUAUAUUGCAAUUGCAGUUAGCAUGUAAUGGUCUUAGCUACAGAGGUUUAGAUCAAUAGGUCUUGUAGAGCAUACUAAUUCUAAAAGCAGGAUCACACAUGGGGAUUAGGGUAAAUACUAAAUAGUGUAUAUUGGAAAGAACAGCUAUCAAGCAUAAUGCUUUCUGUGGUUAGUUAAUUACCUAUAUAUUGUAAAACACA